AGAGCCUGAACCAGCCAAGUUCGCGUGAAGGACGACGGUUCUAUGGAUUGUAAACUUCUUUUGUAGAGGAAUAAUGGCAGCUACGCGUAGCUGAGAUGCAUGUACUCUACGAAUAAGUAUCGGCUAACUCCGUGCCAGCAGCCGCGGUAAUACGGAGGAUACGAGCGUUAUCCGGAAUUAUUGGGUUUAAAGGGUGCGUAGGUGGCGUAUUAAGUCAGUGGUGAAAAGCUGCAGCUCAACUGUAGUCUUGCCGUUGAAACUGAUAUGCUAGAGAGGAGACGAGGUAUGCGGAAUGUGUGGUGUAGCGGUGAAAUGCAUAGAUAUCACACAGAACGCCGAUUGCGAAGGCAGCGUACCAGGCUCCGUCUGACACUGAAGCACGAAAGCGUGGGGAUCAAACAGGAUUAGAUACCCUGGUAGUCCACGCAGUAAACGAUGAAUACUAGAUUUUUUGCGAUAUAGUGUAAAGAGUCUAAGCGAAAGCGAUAAGUAUUCCACCUGGGGGAGUACGCCGGCAA
rnacentral:rRNA from 1 species